rnacentral:lncRNA from 1 species
GUACCAGUACCAGAUCAAUGUGGAGCUACAUACAGGGAGUACCAGUACCAGAUCAAUGUGGAGCUAUAUACAGGGAGUACCAGUACCAGAUCAAUGUGGAGCUAUAUACAGGGAGUACCAGUACCAGAUCAAUGUGGAGCUAUAUACAGGGAGUACCAGUACCAGAUCAAUGUGGAGCUAUAUACAGGGAGUACCAGUACCAGAUCAAUGUGGAGCUAUAUACAGGGAGUACCAGCACCAGAUCAAUGUGGAGCUAUAUACAGGGAGUACCAGCACCAGAUCAAUGUGGAGCUAUAUACAGGGAGUACCAGUACCAGAUCAAUGUGGAGCUAUAUACAGGGAGGAGCAGUACCAGAUCAAUGUGGAGCUAUA